GGCCCCGCUCAGUGGGUUAAGGAUCCAGCGUUGCCGUGAGCUGUGGUGUGGGUCACAGACGUGGCUCGGAUCUGGCGUUACUGUGGCUGUGGCGUAGGCCGGUGGUUACAGCUCCAAUUCGACCCCUAGCCUGGGAACCUCCAUAUGCCAUGGGUGAGGCCCUAGAAAAGGCAGAAAGACAAAAAAAAAAAAAAAAAAAAAAAAAGUCUGGCUAAAAACCGGAAUUCUGAUACUAAAGCAGACCGGUAGACUGGAUAUUGGAGACCAUGAGCAGAAUCAGACAUAGAAAGUUUUUCUGAAACAAGAAGCAAAAAAGCACAAAUGUUAAAGAAAAAUAUUGGCAACAGAGACUAAAUUAAAAAUUUAAAUCUCUAAUAAAUAAAAUACUUAAAUUAUUUUAAUGAGUAAAUACUGACAACAAAUGAAUGUUAACUCUUAGUUUGGGGAAAGAUUUGCAGAGCUUAUACCUAAAUGUUUUAAAAUUUUACACAAAGGAUCGGGAUCUAUCAUAUAUAAAGAAUCCCUGCAAAUCAAUAAGAAAAAGGUUAAAACCCAGUGCAUGAAACUUACCCGCAGGCACCCAGAAGAGACCAGAGGGAGUUCCCGUCGUGGCGCAGUGGUUAACGAAUCCGACUAGGAACCAUGAGGUUGCGGGUUCGGUCCCUGCCCUUGCUCAGUGGGUUAACGAUCCGGCGUUGCCGUGAGCUGUGGUGUAGGUUGCAGACGCGGCUCGGAUCCCGCGUUGCUGUGGCUCUGGCGUAGGCCGGUGGCUACAGCUCCGAUUUGCCCCCUAGCCUGGGAACCUCCAUAUGCCGCGGGAGCGGCCCAAGAAAUAGCAACAACAACAACAACAACAAAAGACAAAAAAAAAAAAAAAAAAAAAAGAAGAGACCAGAAAGGAUGUGUUGUGUCUGAGCAGAGGGUUCCAGACAAACCAGAUGAAGAGACAUGGACCCAAGAAGCAAAGGGACUUAAAUCCCAGAUGCCUAAUUGAGCACCAACAGUAAACUCAGCCUCGUACACGGAAAUCCUGGGGUAGGACUUAGCGGCCAAGAAGAGGAGACAGUGUGGUCCCUGCCCUCCAGGAGCAUCCAGUUCUGUCAUAAAGGGACCUGUGUCAGCACCAGGGGACUGGCCCUCAUUCCCGUGUCCAGUGCACACGACGUGUCCUGCCAUGUGUGGGAAAUACAAGCAUUUGGAUCUUGUUUUUCUUUUUUUGUCUGCCCU
rnacentral:lncRNA from 1 species